UAUAGAUUAAAAUUAUCUUUGUCGUUUAAAAUCAUGUCUUAGUUAGUGUGAUGUUAUACAUUUUUAACAAUUUAGAAAUCAUGCUAAUACGAUGUAACCACUAAUUCUCGACAUACCAUUUCGUAUAGAAAUCAUGCUCCUAUGAUUUUAUAAUUUUAAUAUAUCAUUUCUGUAUAUAUUUUAAUUAAUAUUUUAACAUACCAUAUUAGGUAGACAUCAUAUUCAUAGGAUUUAUAAGUUUUAAUAUAUCAUGUCCACAUAUACUUUAAGUAAUGUUCUUAACAUAUUAAUAAUAUAGAAAUCACACUCAUAUGAUCUUAAUAAUUAUUUGUCAUAUUAUUCUUACAUUGAAAUCACGCCCAUAACUUUCGAUAAAUCUUGUUAUAUUAUUUUUAAUAAUCUUUCGACUUACUAUCAAUUAGAAAUCUUGUUUAUAUGAUGUUAUAAAUACAUUAGUUAAUAACUAAAAUCAUUAAAAUGUGCUUUUAUUUAUCAAAUUAAUCGUAAAUAUUCAUGUCGAGUAAUUAAACUUUACCUUUAUGUCAUCUUACCUUAGUAUUCGUACACUUUUAAUAUUUAUUUUGACUUUCACAACCUAUGUUUGUUUUCAAUCAUGUUAAUUAAUUAAUAUAGAGGCUUAUUUGAGAUUUUACGUGCUCAAUGUCGUCCUACUUGUUUUGUUUGACGAUGUGUCUAAUUAAGAAACUUAUAUUUUCUUUAGUCUAAUACCUGUCCUAAUAGUACGUCCAAUGCCUCUUGGAUAUUAAGUUGGGACGCUAGACACCUUUUAAGACGCUAGUUUUUAAUAUUCCUUUUAGAUCGCUUUAGGAUUGAAUUAACAAACAAAUCUAGGAGGGGUAGGGGUAGAUAGGCCCUUCGGAAAUGAUGGAGAUCGACCCGAGCAGAAAACGACAAAAUACUAUAUUUUGUCUUCCGAUUAAUAAGCCGGCGCUGAUCCGAAGAACAUGAGUACAUAAAUAUUUCUACACUAUUUUAAAUACUUUUGUUUGUAUAUUAUUUGGGGUAGUUUAUUUAUUAUUUCGUUUGCCUUUUGCUAUUAUUUAAUUAAUUGAUAAUAUUUAUUUAUCCUGUGUUAGUUCUAAUAUUAAUUGUUUAAUUUAACUUAAUUAAAUCCCUAAAGAGAUACCAUUUUUGUUUUCAUCAUUUUUCCUUUAUUUAAUCAUUUUACUAAGUCAAACAUUCUUAUAAACUAUCUUAAAUAUUUUAAAAUUUAUAUUUUUCUCAAAAUUGUUUAAUACUUUAAUUAUUGUUAAAACACAUUUUCCCAAAGUUAGUCAAAUAAUUUUCAAAUCGUUGGACAACCGCAUGUUAGCGGCUAUUUUAAGUGCUAAAACCUUCUUAAAAUAGUAAUAUGAAUGUCGUACAUUUUUCUCUGAAUUUUUAAGACUUAAAUCUGUUAGGGUCUUUUAAAUUAAGUUUUCUUAAUUUCUUUUAAAAAUUAAGUGGCGACUCUUUUUUUUACUAAAAUUGAUUUUUUCUUAUAAAGAUGAAAUUAAUUUUAAACCACGCCCAUUUUUCGAUAUAACAGAGAAGAUUUGUGAGCCUGACAGUCAUGUAUGCAACCGUCAUGAAUGGGCUUAGUAAAAGGGGUCAUACUCAAAAAACUUUAAGUUUGCUCCGUUUAAUGGAACAGGGAAACACUAAGACCAACAUAUAUAUAUCUACAUCAUUGUUAUAGAUUCCUUUUGCAAAGAUAGAAACUUGGAUGCUGCUAUCACUCUUUUGAAUGAGAUGAAGCAGAGAGGUAUUUCUCCAAACAUAGUCGCAUGUAGUUCAUUAAUUGAUGGUUUGUGUAAGCUUGGUCAGUGGGAAAUGGUUAAGACUUUGUUCUCUGAGAUGGUGAACCAUAAUAUUUAUCCAAAUGUGCACAUCUUCAAUAUUCUAACAGAUGGCCUAUGCAAAGAAGGGAAAGUAGAAGAUGCCGAGGAAAUAAUGAAACACAUGGUUGAAAAAGGUGUAGAGCCUAAUAUAAUCACAUACAAUGCAAUAAUGGAUGGAUAUUGUUUGCGUGGUCAACUAGAUAGAGAAAGGAGAACUUUUUGAUAUAGUGAUAGAGAAGGGCAUUGAGUCUGACAUUUUUAGUUAUAACAUACUAAUAAAUGGAUACUGUAAGAAAAAGAAACUCGCCAAGGCCAUGCAAUUGCUUGGUAAAAUUUCUCAAAAGGGAUCAAAGCCUGAUACUUUUACCUACAAUACUAUCUUGCAAGGUCUGUUUGAAGUUGGAAGAACUGGUGAUGCAAAACAAAUUUACGCUGAGAUGCUAUCUGCAGGGACCAUGCCUGAUAUAUACGGUCAUGUCACUUUUCUCAAUGGUUAUUUUAAGUACGGACUUGUUGAAGAAGCUAUGUCACUCUUUAAUAAGUUAGAAAGAAGCAGAGAAUAUACUAAUAAUACAUUUUAUAGUGUUGUCAUUAACGGAUUGUGCAAAACUGGUAAACUUAACGAAGCACAUGCUGUUUUCAAGAAGCUUUCUUUCAUUGGAUUGCUCCCGGAUGUGAGAACAUACACUGUAAUGAUAAAUGGAUUUUGUCUUGAAGGGUUCUUUGAUGAAGCUAAAGAUCUUCUAAGAAAAAUGGAAGACAACGGUUGUUCUCCAAACAAUGUCACUUAUAAUGUUAUUUUGCAGGGAUUUCUCAGGUGCAACAAAAUUAGUGAAAUGACAUCUUUUAUGAAGGAAAUGGCUGGAAGGGGCUUCUCAUUUGAUGCAACUACAUUUGGUUUUUGGUAAACAUUGUAAGGGAGAAUCCUUCUGUCCUUGACAUGAUACUAGAGCUUCACUCGAAAAAUAAGAAGUGAAUAUUUCUUUUGUUUGAUUUAUCCGGCUACGCUAUCACUGUGAUACAAUUUCCUUUUUUUUUAAUCCCUGCAAAAGAAAUGACACCCAAUGCAUUUGCCAAAUGUGAUGGCAAUUGGAACAUUGCUUGAGCUUUCCAGACAACCUUUUGAGGAGGUACAUCAGUUUUGAUGUGAGAAAAAAUGGAGACCAUAUAGAUUUUCUUAAAAAAGAAAUAAUGGUUGAUGCAGGGCAAGUUGCUAGUACCGGAAUGGUUGCACCGAGUUACAACAAGCUUUUAUUAUGAUUACAUCCUUCAGCAGGUUAAAGAUGCAGUUGAAUUGUUCAAAAAAUUGGUGAGAGAGAAGAUUUGUGAGCCUAAUGAAGUCAUGUAUUCAACCGUCAUGAAUGGGCUUAGCAAAAGGGGCCAUACUGACAAGACUUUAAGUUUGCUCCGGUUAAUGGAACAAGGGAACACUAAGCCUAGCAUAGUUAACUACAACAUUGUCAUAGAUGCCCUAUGCAAAGAUGGAAACUUAGAUGCUGUUAUCAACCUUUUGAACGAGAUGAAGCAGAAAGGCAUACCUCCAGAUGUAGUCAGAUAUAAUUCAAUAAUUGAUGGUUUGUGUAGGAUUGGUCAGUCGGAAAAGGUUAAGAUUAUGUUCUCUGAGAUGGUGAACUAUAAUAUUUAUCCAAAUGUGCACUCCUUCACCAUACUAAUAGAUGGACUAUGCAAAGAAAGGAAAGUUGAAGAUGCCGAGGAAGUAAUGAAACACAUGGUCGAAAAGGGUGUAGAGCCUGAUAUAAUCACCUACAGUGCGAUAAUGGACGGGUAUUGUUUGCGUGGUCAACUAGAUAGAGCGAGGAGAAUUUUGAUAUCUUGAUAUAGACAAGGGCAUUGAGCUUAACAUUUUUAGCUUUAAUAUGCUAAUAAAUGGAUACUGUAAGAAAAAGCAACUUGCCGAGGCCAUGCAAUUUUUUGGUAAAAUUUCUCAAAAGGGAUCAAAACUUGUUACUGUUGCCCACAAUAUUGUCUUGCAAGGUCUGUUUGAAGCUGGAAGAAUUGAUGUUGCCAAAUCAAUUUAUGCCGAGAUGCUAUCUGCGGGGCCCAUACCUGAUUUAUACACUCAUCACACUUUGCUCAAUGGUUAUUUUAUGUAUGGACUUGUUGAAGAAGCUUUGUCAGGCUUAUCGAGGAGACUGAUGUUAUAGAGAUGGUGUCCAUCAGAGAUGUUGUCUCUACUGUUGCAAGUGAGCAUAUGGAUGAGCUGAACCAUUUGAAAUUUUGAAUGCUUACAUACAAGGAGGAGGAUGGUAAAUACAUGGUUCAAGUGCUUAAUCCUAUAGAUAUUUGCAUGCUUGGUUCUUUUAGUAUUGGUAUGUGCCUUUUAAGAUGUGGCCUACUGCAUAUUUUCCCAGUUUCAUGUGCCUUAUAAUAUGAUGAGAGAUGUUAUGCGACAACUUAUGGAGGUAGGUUUAUCUCGUUAAGUUCACAACUAAGGAGCUGUUAGCUGCUGAGGGUUGAAAAGUCCCACUUUAAGUUGGUUGCAACAAAUGCGGAGCCGGAAUUUAGAGUUUAUGGGUUUUGAACUCACCAUUGAACUAAUAAUCGUCACAGUUACUGGGUUCACUCAUCCGAACGUGAAACUAACACCCUCCCUUCACCUCUGAGUUGCAACUCGCAAAUUGAACGACCCAAAGAUUCAUGUUUGAAGAAUUGGACAACAUUGGAGAUGAAGCCUUGUUCUUGUGUGACCAGUUUUGUAUACUAUAUGAACUAAAUUUUAUGAUUGGAAUCAUCAGGAAGUCAAUACAUGAUGGAUCUCAUACUCUAUUAUGAUUGUAACAACAUGCAACCAAUGUUAUAAAUUUCUGCUUCAAGAGUUAUUACUUCUCAUCCGUUUCA